CCUCACCGCCGGUUCACCGCCUGUCGGUGCAAACUGGCGUGAUGCGGGACGUCCUGUCGGUGGCGAGCCUGGGAUCUUGGUCGCGUCGGAUGGCUUGUCUGUACGGCCGGCCUUGGUCUCUGGCCGCUUCUUAAUCCCGCCGCGGUGCUCUUUACCGAGUGUCGAGGCGGGCCGGCACGUUUACUUUGAACAAAUUAGAGUGCUUCAAGCAGGCUCAUGUCCGCCUGUAUACUGUGUGCAUGGAAUAAUGGAAUAGGACCUCGGUUCUAUUUUGUUGGUUUCCGGAAUCUGAGGUAAUGAUCAAUGGGGACAGGCGGGGGCAUUCGUAUUGCGACGUUAGAGGUGAAAUUCUUGGAUCGUCGCAAGACGGACCGAAGCGAAAGCAUUUGCCAAGUAUGUUCCCGUCGAUCAAGAACGAAAGUUAGAGGUUCGAAGGCGAUCAGAUACCGCCCUAGUUCUAACCAUAAACCAUGCCUGCCAGCGAUCCGCCGGCGUCCCUCCGAUGACCCGGCGGGCAGCUUCCGGGAAACCAGAGCUUUUGGGUUCCGGGGGAAGUAUGGUUGCAAAGCUGAAACUUAAAGGAAUUGACGGAAGGGCACCACCAGGAGUGGAGCCUGCGGCUUAAUUUGACUCAACACGGGAAAACUCACCAGGCCCGGACACCGGAAGGAUUGACAGAUUGACAGCUCUUUCUUGAUUCGGUGGGUGGUGGUGCAUGGCCGUUCUUAGUUGGUGGAGCGAUUUGUCUGGUUAAUUCCGAUAACGAACGAGACUCUAGCCUACUAACUAGACGUACCCGGUAUUAGCAAUCGUGCUACCGGCGAUCAUAUCUCUUCUUAGAGGGACAGGCGGCUUCUAGCCGCACGAGACUGAGCAAUAACAGGUCUGUGAUGCCCUUAGAUGUCCUGGGCCGCACGCGCGCUACACUGAAGGAAUCAGCGUGUCUUCCCUGUCCGAAAGGACCGGGUAACCCGCUGAACCUCCUUCGUGCUAGGGAUUGGGGCUUGCAAUUGUUCCCCAUGAACGAGGAAUUCCCAGUAAGCGCGAGUCAUAAGCUCGCGUUGAUUACGUCCCUGCCCUUUGUACACACCGCCCGUCGCUACUACCGAUUGAAUGAUUUAGUGAGGUCUUCGGACCGGUGCGCGAAGGCGGUCCCACCGCUUUCGAUGUUGUCGGAAAGAUGACCAAACUUGAUCAUU
rnacentral:rRNA from 1 species